rnacentral:rRNA from 1 species
CGUGAAGAGGGAAACAACCCAGACCGCCAGCUAAGGUCCCAAAGUCAUGGUUAAGUGGGAAACGAUGUGGGAAGGCCCAGACAGCCAGGAUGUUGGCUUAGAAGCAGCCAUCAUUUAAAGAAAGCGUAAUAGCUCACUGGUCGAGUCGGCCUGCGCGGAAGAUGUAACGGGGCUAAACCAUGCACCGAAGCUGCGGCAGCGACACUGUGUGUUGUUGGGUAGGGGAGCGUUCUGUAAGCCUGUGAAGGUGUGUCGUGAGGCAUGCUGGAGGUAUCAGAAGUGCGAAUGCUGACAUAAGUAACGAUAAAGCGGGUGAAAAGCCCGCUCGCCGGAAGACCAAGGGUUCCUGUCCAACGUUAAUCGGGGCAGGGUGAGUCGACCCCUAAGGCGAGGCCGAAAGGCGUAGUCGAUGGGAAACGGGUUAAUAUUCCCGUACUUGGUGUUACUGCGAAGGGGGGACGGAGAAGGCUAUGUUGGCCGGGCGACGGUUGUCCCGGUUUAAGCGUGUAGGUGUGUGUUCCAGGUAAAUCCGGUUCACUUUAACACUGAGGCGUGACGACGAGGCACUACGGUGCUGAAGCAACAAAUGCCCUGCUUCCAGGAAAA